AAAUGAUUGUUCGGGUUGGCAGAAACAAAUGGUGACUACAUGUUUUAAAAAUGUCUGUACGUGUAUCAUUAGUUUUCACUAUUUCUGCAAUAGUAUUAAUCAACCCUAUAACAGCCACUGAUGAAAUAUAUAUAUCACCCUUCAUCUAUGAUGUACACAAUAAUAGUGAUAUAGUAAUUCAAAUAAAGGGAUUGACAUCAACAAUGGACAUGAUAAAAUCAAUUACAUGCGAUGUAAUCGAUUUGGAUUCCCAAAUCAUUAUGAAAACUGAUUUAAAUCUAAGUAACGAAUUUACGAUAAUGGCACGAUUCGAAAUUCCAACAGCCUUAGGUGCUUUUAAGAUACAAUGUUCCAAAUUUGGUUCACUUAUGAACUUCUAUGGUAACUUUUUACUUGUCAAUAGUCUACAUUUGAUAAUCGGAAACGUUGAACCAAAUUCAAUAAAACUAGGAGAAAGUGUUUCAUUCAAACUGGAAAUAUUUAACUUGAGUGAACCUGUUCCUUUAUUAUGUCAUUUAACUGAUGGAGAAGAUUAUAUCAUUUUACCAACAAACUCGAUCAAUGGAAAUAAACUAUCUACAUGGAUUACAUGCCCUGAGUAUAAACUUAAUAGAGCCACUGAAUACCAAAUAACAGUCGUGUAUUCAACGGAUGCAAUUGAUGCAAUGUUAAGUUCGAACAAUUUCAAAGUAGUGACGGUUCAGGCCGAUCGUCCAAAAGUGAUGAAAUCUGGAUACACUAAAGAUUUGAGAACUAUUUGGUUUCAAUUUGAUCAAAAUAUAGAGGGACCAGAUUCGUGUGAUGCUAUUUUCACAUCAAAUACAUUAAAUCAAUUUGGUCACGACGCUGUUUGUUGGUUUUCCUCUGAUCAUUUAACGGUACUCCUAGGAAAUGUAAAAACUAUUAAAGAAAAUAAACUUCAUGUUCAAUUUUCUUCAGACAAUAAUAUAAAGAGUUACCAAUCGUUGCCGAAUUUGAGUUCAGCGAUGUUAAAUAUUGAAAUGAUUGUACCAAUAAUUCCUUCCGAGGUUACAUUGCCGAUGUAUUGGAUGAAUGGGCCUCCACAAUUUUGUAAUGUUGAUGAUGGACACAUUCUUGGAACACAAUCUUCUGACCAAUCUAUAUAUGAUUGUACUGGUUCUCAAGUUAUAAGUGUUUCUACCUUUGGCUCACCUAUGCUCAGAUUUAGUCCAAUAUUAAGCUUUAAUGACCUCUCAAACUCGGCACACAUUUCAAUAGACGAAUCUUCACAUCGGUCUUCUUUAGUGAGGAAUAGUGUCAGAGGUCUUGUGAUAAUGAUAAAUCGACAAAACUUCACAAACAGCAUUUGUUUGAAUAGUGCUUUGAUGUUGCCGUACGUAGAAUAUACUUUAGAAUUAUCGGGAACAAAUAUUUUAAACCAGUCUGGCUUAAAAAGCCAAUUCAAAUUCAAAUUAAUUGAAACCCAUGGCAUUAAAUCCCAACCAAAAUUGCAAAUAAUGGCACGUCCAAUCGUUGCAAUUGGAUCUGAAGCUAUAUUUGAAACUUUGUUAUAUCCUGUUUGCGGAGAUCCAAUCGAAGAUGAUUAUAAUAAUUUACAAUAUAGAUGGUAUUUUAUAACCGAAAACAGUAAAUACAAUAUUAUCGGAGUGAAUGGUCCAGUAUUGAUAUUAGAUACAAAAGGACUAAUUCGAGGCAAAAAUUAUACAAUCGGUUGUGAAUUGCAUAAUGAUAUCGUUUUCCCGGGAAAAAAAACUACAGCAAUGGCAAAGGAUGAAAUCGAUUUUAGAAUUGAAUCGUUUUUUGCUAAAACAAUUAUUGUGCCACAGCAAAUUGUGGUUGGAUUUGGUCGAUCCAUUCACUUAAAAAUAAAACAUCAAGAUUAUGUCACAACAGAAAAUGUGCAAUAUAAAUGGCUUUGCAAAACAACUAAUGGUGAUGAUUGCUUAAUCGUUGGAAAUUAUCCUGCAUUAAAAGAAGCAAUGGAUGAAAUAUCAUCAUCAACAUCUUCAGAAUUAAUAAUUCGUGAAUUAACAUUACAGCCAGGAAGGUAUUACUUUGUGGUUCAAAUAUCAUUAGGUGGCGUUCCAAUAGACUCUGCCGUAUCCGUGGUUGUAGUUUCUUUUGAAUCUGGUCCACAUAUAAUGUUUUAUUGGCCAGAUGGAAAUUUUAACCCAAGUAUACCUAUACUACCCGGAAGUAGUAUUGUUAUGGCUGCUACUGUUUCCUUUUUAACUGCCGGUUGCUCGACUUCUUGGACUACGUCAUCAGAUUCUGGGUACAGCUAUUUAACGUCAAAAGAUAUGGGUGGAAAAAAUAAAAUUAUUAGAGAAUUUAUGUCUGCUCGAAAUGAAUCAUUUUCGCGCAAUAUUCGUAUUGCAGUAACAUUGCCAAAUAAAAUUAAUCAAAAUACAGAUUUCUUACUGAAACUAAAUAUCCACUGUGCGUCUUUGAAACAUUCAAUGUUUGGGGUUAUACCAAUUUCAAUAGUUGCUCCACCACGAACAUCGAAACUAGAAGUAACACCAAAAGAAGGAAUUGGUAUUUUAACUAAGUUCAAAUUUUACACCGAUACAGCAUAUGACAAAAAAUCAAGUCAUCCAAUCCGAUAUAGUUUUGGAUUUUAUAUACCAUCAUUAACAACCGUUCCAAUAUAUUUUUAUACAUCAACUUUCAGGUUGCAAGCAGAAACAAUUCUUCCGUCAGUAAAUUUAGAUAUAUCAAGGAUUAAAACUAUUUUAAAAGUAUGCAAUGUUUACGAAAGUUGUAGUACGAUUGAAGGGCCAGAAAUAUCUGUCCAUCAUCCAACACAGAUUUCAGAUGAAGAUAUAACAUACUUUGAACAAAAAUACAGACGUAUGUUAGUAAAACAAAUGCUAACUGAAUCGGAAGCAUACAUGUUUAUUUAUAUGACAACAUUAAAAACUUUCAAAGUUGAAGUAUAUGAAAAAACUUCUAAUGAACUAUUUAAUCUUAUUUCAAUGUAUACGAAUAAUGAUAUUAUAGAAAGCAUAUCCUAUGGUAUAGAAUAUAUUCCGUUUGGACUGGCUCUUUUAGAUUCAAUUUCUCGAACUUUUUUUGUACUUCCAAAGUUCAAUAAUUUAGUUGUCUCACAAGCGUUGGUAUCAUUACGAGAUCGAAUAUACGCAAAAUUAAUAGCUUACGAUAACGAGCCAACGUCAAAUAACAUAAAUAACAUGAGAUACAUCUUAAAAAAUGUAAAUUCUAAUAUGCAUAAUAUUUACUCAAAAACAGAGAUAAACACCGAAGUGGUGGAAUCAUUUUUACAUGUCUCAGAAAUUGUGAUUUUAAACAAGGAUGAUGGACCUGACGGAUUAAAUGAAAAAAAAAAAUUACUUGAUAGUGUGGAAAAUUAUGCUAAACAUAUUUGUUUGACAAUGAAUGAAGAACAAGAAGUAUAUGUGGGAUCAUUAGUUGGAAGUUUCAGCGUACGACAAGUAAAUAGUCUCGGUUUAAAAGAACCAUCCAUUGAGUUACCUACUUGUAAUUCGAAUUUCCACAAAAAAUGCAUUAAACAAAGAUCUAAGGUUACGAUUAACAAGAACCUUCUUUUUUCUCAUAGAACUGAGUUUCCAUUAUGUUUUAUGGGUUUUCACUUUUAUGACGAUUUUUUCACCCAAGUGUAUGGAAAUAAAGGACAAUUUCUUAAGAGGCAUAGCGGAUUAUAUGGAUUUCAUAUAAUGAAGAUAAAUAAUAAUAAAAAAUCCAACUAUGAAAAUGUAGUAUCAAAUCCAUCGAAUAUAAUAAAUAUUAUUGAAAUUCCAUUACAGUCGACAACUGAUACUCAACUAGAAUGUAGAUAUUGGAACGGUAUAUUAGGUUGGACUAAUGAAGGAUGUAAGUUUCUUGGCGUUGUCACAAAAUCAUUUAAUCAAUAUGCUAUGUGUGAAUGUCCAACAUUUAAAUAUUACGGAAUAUUUUCUGUAGAUGUUACAAAUGUUUUAUUUGAUAAUUCUGUAUCGGAUUCAACACAUAACACAAUCGUUUAUGUUAAUAAAAACAAGAAUCAGUUUUUUAAUAAUUCUUCAAUUACUCAAAGAUCUCUUUCUGAUAUAUGUGUUGCUUUCAAAGUAAAUGGGGAUCCUGCUGAUUUAUAUGAUCAAAAUAUUAGGGAUUUAGAAAAUUCUUUAAGUCGACAAUUAACGGAAAAAAUUAUAUUACUUUCUUCAGUUUUGAAAGAAUUAAAUUUGAUUAUGAGUGAACCGAUGUACAUAACUUUACAUUUAAUGCAAAAUGUAAAUAUUACUACAGAUGAAUCUAUUCACGACCUCGUUAAAAAAUUAGCAGAUGGAUCUUUAAUUUUAUACGAUUUGCAUAGAUUUAGAUUAUAUGUACCAGAACAACCAUUACGAAUUAUUCAGCCACGUAACUUGGAGUUUAGCGAAACGGGAAAAAAUAUUGCUUUGUUCUUCGCCAUAUUUGUCGCGUUUCUCGCCUGCUUUGUGUUUGGUUCAAUAUUAUUCAAACGACAUCAACUGCUAACCGACAUUUCAGAUGUUCAAGUAAACAAAAUUUAAAAACAAAAGAUCCUAUUAGACGACCAAAAUAUAAAAAAUUGGAAUCCACUGAACUAAUUGAACAAAAUACAGCUUCGGAACAAAGAUUUAACCAUUUUAAAAACAAUAUAGAACUUUCGGAUUCUGGUAUUACUU
rnacentral:misc_RNA from 1 species